GAUUAAAAGAAAAUUCUAGCAGCCCAAACACCACGGCGCAUGAACCUUCAGACAUACCAAACAGCGAAAAUCAAGAUAGAUCUCCGUAUGCAGAACUCGGAGACCUCGACAAACCGAACACAUACGAAGACCUCCACCAGUAUACCGAAGCUGUUUAGAAGAAUUUGGCCUGAAAUUUUAUAGAUUUCAUAGAUGAAAAUGACAGAAAAUAUACAAGUAUUUGAACAGUCUAAACAAAGACAAUGCCAUGUGGUAUUGUUUCAUAUGUGAAGAUUAUAAUAUGUAAAUAUAGAGUGAUGUGUUAUUGGAAAGUGAUGCGCAUGUAACGUAAUUUUCUAAUAUAUUCCUUUAACAUUUUACUUUAAACUGUUAAGUAUUGGCUUUCAUUUUAUUAUGUUGCAACUUGUUUUACCUAUUCAAAUACUUCCCAAUCUGUUCAACCAUUUUGUAUAAAACAGAUAAAUACCAGUAUAUUCAUGGGGGAUAUGUUUGAUAAUGUUUUUGUUCAUAAUUAGUCAUACCAAAGGGCAAAUGCAAUAUAUGUUGAAAACAUACAUUAUUUUAUGUGUGACUAAGUGAACAAACUCAUUACAAAGCUUUGGAGAAGGAAUGAAUAACGAAAAUUAUUGAUAGAAGUGCAUUACCGGAAUCUAUUAUGUAAUGUCAAGCAGAAUGUAAGCAAAUCAUCAUAUACUCGGUCCUCUGACACAGUAAAAUGACUGGUAGGGGAAAGAACCUUAUGAACAUCGACAAAGUUAUGAAAACUUACAUCACGAGAUCCGACGAAAUACGCAAUAUCCGCGUUCUCAGCUCUUUUGUUAGUAGUGAUUAUAUAUGCCCCCUCAUCGACACUAUUGCUAGUUUUAGCAAAGACAAUUGAUGGAUAUCGAUUUUUCUUCGAGUUAUUUUAUUUCAAAUAUUCACAAGCGUACUAAAUUUCUGUCUCCGCAUAUCCGAGUUCCACAAAACCGAGUGAUAAUGAGACAUCAUGUUUUGCUAGUAUAUCACUUGAAUAUAUAUUUGGAAGGGAAAAAUUCACACAUUUUUCGUCACAACAAAAUCGGUUCUAUUAACCUGCGAAUGGUGCGUACCCGAAGAGGUUGCAGGUUUCGUUUAACUGGUGACCCUUUCCUCAUAUCUGAUGGUGCAUUAAUCUUGGUGAAACUUUCUCAAAAAGGAUGUAAAAAUAACAAUUUUAAAAAUAAUAAUAAUAAUAUCCUUUAUUUAUACAGGAUUGCACAAUUAGUUGUAUAAACUAGUUUACAUUGUGGUCCUGUCUAUAACAUAUAUACAUA